UACGUAGGGAGCAAGCGUUGUCCGGAAUCAUUGGGCGUAAAGCGCGCGUAGGCGGCCCGAUAAGUCCGUUGUGAAAGUCAAAGGCUCAACCUUUGAAUGCCGAUGGAUACUGUCGGGCUAGAGUCCGGAAGAGGCGAGUGGAAUUCCUGGUGUAGCGGUGGAAUGCGCAGAUAUCAGGAGGAACACCAAUAGCGAAGGCAGCUCGCUUGGACGGUACUGACGCUAAGGCGCGAAAGCGUGGGGAGCGAACAGG
rnacentral:rRNA from 1 species